rnacentral:misc_RNA from 1 species
AGUCGUAACAAGGUAUCCGUAGGUGAACCUGCGGAUGGAUCAUUUCCACUUUUUGCAAUAUGAUUUUUUGUGUUAUUUCAUUUUGUGUUUGAUAUGAUGAGAAUGAUGAGUGCAACUAGUAAUGUUGAACCAUUAUUUUCAUUGUUGAACAAAAUGAUUUGACACAAAAAUCAUAUUUCAUUUCAAUAACCAUACAAACGUGAAUUGUUCUUGUACAUUACAUUAUUACAAACGAUUUUCAUGUCGUAAAACUUUUUAUCGAAUUGGUAUUUCUCUUUUGAUAAACAUAACCAAAAACAACUCUUAACAACGGAUGUCUUGGUUCUC